UACGUAGGGGGCGAGCGUUGUCCGGAAUUACUGGGCGUAAAGGGCGCGCAGGCGGCCCGCUAAGUCCGCUGUGAAAGACCGGGGCUCAACCCCGGGGUGUCAGCGGAGACUGGUGGGCUAGGGUGUCGGAGAGGAGUGCGGGAAUCCCUGGUGUAGCGGUGGAAUGCGUAGAGAUCGGGGGGAACACCGAUGGCGAAGGCAGCACUCUGGCCGGAGACCGACGCUGAGGCGCGGAAAGCUGGGGGGAGCGAACGGGG
rnacentral:rRNA from 1 species